UGACCAUUUCUUUAUCGAAUUUUACGCAGUGAUAAAGAAAUUGAAUGCCAUACGGACAGCUAGGUCAAAUGCCGA
rnacentral:sRNA from 12 species